ensembl:lncRNA
CAGAAUGUUUAGUAAUAUUGGAUUGUAUGUUUCUGGAUCAAGGAUUAUGGCAACAGAACUGGACAAUAAUAAGAAAUUCAUUGGCAGCAGAGAACUGGAAGGAGAGGCGGCCAAAGGAGGAAUUGGUUUUGGGGGUGACCAGAGAGAUAUAUCUGCUGCUACAGGACCUGAGCCCAAGGACCAUGCCCCAGGACUACCUGACAUGAUGACUCCUUGCUGUCCCCAGUCCACCUGGCCGUGCUGCUGCUCCAGUUUCAACUGUUCUGCCUUAUUAUUAUUUGACCAUGCUGGUCAUUUAUGAACAUUUGAACAUCUUGGCCAUGUUCUGUUAUCAUCUCCACCCGGCACAGCCAGAAGAGGACUGGCCACCCCACAUAUGCUCUCUCUAAUUCUCUCUUUCUUUCUCUCUCUCGGAGGACCUGAGCCCUAGGACCAUGCCCCAGGACUACCUGACAUGAUGACUCCUUGCUGUCCCCAGUCCACCUGACCGUGCUGCUGCUCCAGUUUCAACUGUUCUGCCAUAUUAUUAUACGACCAUGCUGGUCAUUUAUGAAUAUUUGAACAUCUUGGCCAUGUUCUGUUAUAAUCUCCACCCGGCACAGCCAGAAGAGGACUGGCCACCCCACAUAGCCUGGUUCCUCUCUAGGUUUCUUCCUAGGUUUUGGCCUUUCUAGGGAGUUUUUCCUAGC